AUGCAUAUCUCUGCAUCAUUUGCUCUUGUGUUGGCAAAAGUCAUGAGCGUGCCAUGACUUUUGCAAACACAAGAGCAAAUGAUGCUGAGAGACAGCAUU